rnacentral:lncRNA from 1 species
AUAAAAUGGGAUGAGAAAGGAUUAGCUGUGGCUAUUGCACAAAACGUUGACACUGGAGCAGUAUUAAUGCAAGGCUUUGCUAACCGAGAGGCUCUAUCCACAACCCUCACUUCUCGUAAAGCUACGUUCUUCAGUCGAUCAAGAUCUACCUUAUGGACUAAGGGAGAGACAUCCAAUAACUUCAUCAAUGUCCUCGAUGUUUAUCUUGACUGCGAUCGUGAUUCGGUAUGUUUGUCUGAACCAUUGUUUUUAGAACCUUGACUAACUCUUCUUAAAAUGUUAUAUUUAUCAACUUUAGUUGGCUUGUGGUUACUCAGAUAAUUUACCUUGGAACACCUGAUGGGCCUACUUGUCACACAGGGGCAGAGACUUGUUACUAUACAUCAGUUUUGGAUCAAUUAAACAAUGAUGAGGUUUGUUUUAUCUUUUCCUGUGUCAUGAGAUGAAUUGAAAUCUGAAAUAAAAUAAUAAACAACUUUCAAUCGCACCACAGGCUUCUGGAGAGAAGCUAGCAUCAACAACAUUGUACUCGCUAGAAUCAAUCAUUUCAAAGAGGAAGGAGGAAUCAACAGUUCCUCAAGAAGGCAAACCGUCAUGGACCCGUCGGUUAUUGACCGAUGAUGCUCUGCUUUGCUCAAAGAUCAGGUAUUUUUGUCGGUUAUCUUCAAUCAAUUGUUACAACAGAUCGUCGACUUAUGUACGAAGCUUAUUGUGGUGUAUGUGAUUCAGGGAAGAAGCAGACGAGUUAUGCAGAACCCUUGAGGAUAAGGCGAACCCCCUUCAUCAUCUUCAAAUAAACGAAUGAGAGAAUAGCAUUCAAAAGACAAAUCAAGUACCAAUCUACACACGAAUUACUUGAUUCAAUCGAGUUAAGUAUCAAUCAAGCCCUAAAUCACCAUACUCUAGCAAUAAGCAUGGACUGAAUCCAGAAGAAGAACCAUAAGCGAUUAGUCUUAUCCCCAGAACCUAAAACCGAAGCGAUUCCAAAACCCGAGAAAGAGAUACGACGGAGAAGACAUACCUGAUCGGGAGGUUGACGCCCGAGAUGAACCAGAAGCCCAAAAGUUUGAAUGUUCCUUCUUCUUCUUCUAGGGUUUUCGAUCCCCAAAAUUCACUAGAAUGGCGAAACUGAAAUUAAAUCAGUUAAGAGGGGUGUUUUCGUAAUUUCACAAACUGAUGGGCUUGUCUUUAAAAAAGGCCUUCACUUCACUGUCAUUGAAACUAAUCAUCGGCGAGAACAAUUAGGGUUUUUCUCUUUGAUCCCGCCGCCACUUUCGUCCCCCUCUAUAUAAAUCGUCCACGAUUCGCAUCUCCUUGAUGGCGAUAUCUUACAAUGCAUUAGCACAGUCUCUGCCGGGGAGGAGUAGCUUCUUCGUCCCCAAAGCCUUGUGCAUCAAGCAGAGAAGCAGAUCCACUGUCGUAUUCGCUUCUAAUGACAAGAACAUUAUUGCUCUUCAAGCUAAGGUAAGUUUUUUUUGCUGCUGUAACUUGUUGAUUGAACCAGACAUUGUCAGGUGGCUACUCUUUAAUACAUGUCGGGUAAAGAAAACAGAGAGAAGGUAAGAUUUUUUAAAGAUGGUUUCCAUCUCUAGAAUCUUGGUUUCUCUUUUAAGAUGCUCAUCGUUUGCUUGGUCGUCUGUAUUUUAGAUGUUGACUGAGCUACAUCUGUUCAUCACAUUUGAUCUUAAACAUAUUCUCAUUUUUACUUUUGUGUUGGUUCUCAUUUAUCCCUGUGGUCAGAGAUGGUCAGGUUCCUACCCUUUUGACUCUUGGGUUGGAACUGUUACAUCUCUGGAAAAGAAAAGAAAAGGCUUUUUGAUGGUUUCCAUCUUUAGGUUUGGAUUUCUCUUUUAAGGUGCUCAUCGUUUGCUUGGUCAUCUUUAUAUUGUGAUGACUUAAGCUACAUCUGUUCAUCACAUUUGAUUAUCUUCCCAAGUGCUUUAUGUUCAGUUAGUUUGUUACUACAAUUGUUUCUUGUUUGUAAACUUUUUGAUUUUGGCCAGAGAUGGUCAGGUUCCUACUCUUUAACAAGUGAGUUGGAACUGUUACAUCUCUGGUAAAGAAAACAGAGAGAAGGAAAGCCCUUUUGAUGGUUUCCAUCUUUUGAUCUGAAAUUCUCUCUAAAGGUGUACAUCGUUUGCUUGGUCAUCUGAAUCUGUGAUGGCAUGGGCUACAUCUGUCCCCCACAACUGAAUAAUCAAUCUCCUGUUAUAUACUUUUAGAGAGGGCUUACGUUGUUAGUGUUGCUAUUGUGAUAUCGUAGUUUCUGUCCCGAAUCUUUGUUUAUGUUUGAUGCUGUAUUUAUCUUUCCUUGUAUUUGUUUUCUUGGGUUUAGGUAGAUACUUUGUUGGACCGCAUAAAAUGGGAUGAGAAAGGAUUAGCUGUGGCUAUUGCACAAAACGUUGACACUGGAGCAGUAUUAAUGCAAGGCUUUGCUAACCGAGAGGCUCUAUCCACAACCCUCACUUCUCGUAAAGCUACGUUCUUCAGUCGAUCAAGAUCUACCUUAUGGACUAAGGGAGAGACAUCCAAUAACUUCAUCAAUGUCCUCGAUGUUUAUCUUGACUGCGAUCGUGAUUCGGUAUGUUUGUCUGAACCAUUGUUUUUAGAACCUUGACUAACUCUUCUU